rnacentral:misc_RNA from 1 species
AAACUGCGAUAAGUAGUGUGAAUUGCAUUUAGUGAAUCAUCGAAUCUUUGAACGCACCCUGCACUCACUGGUAUUCCGGUGAGUACGCCUGUUUCCGUAUCAUUGAAAACACACAAUCAAAACAUUUUCUUUGGUUUGAUUGGCUUUGGGUCUAUCAAAAAGUUUGGCUUGUUUCUUACAAGCCAAGCGGCCUGAAAUAUAUUGUCUGGCUAAUUGCAUCGUUGAUGAUCGCUAUUAGACUUUGGCUUUUUUAAAUGAACUGGAGGUUGAUUAACCAGUUUUAGCAUUAGUCAAAUGGUCAUUGUAAAAAAAAUCUCGAUCUUGGCUAGGUGUUUAUAGCCGAAAAUUUUUUUUUGGCUAUAACCGAAACCAAUAUAAUCACAUUUAGUUAUCGAUCUGAAAUCAGGUGGGACUACCCGCUGAACUUAAGC